UACGUAGGGACCAAGCGUUGUUCGGAUUUACUGGGCGUAAAGAGCUCGUAGGCGGCUUGUCGCGUCGAAUGUGAAAACUUGGGGCUCAACUCCAAGCUUGCAUUCGAUACGGGCAGGCUAGAGUUCGGUAGGGGAGACUGGAAUUCCUGGUGUAGCGGUGAAAUGCGCAGAUAUCAGGAGGAACACCGGUGGCGAAGGCGGGUCUCUGGGCCGAUACUGACGCUGAGGAGCGAAAGCGUGGGGAGCGAACAGG
rnacentral:rRNA from 1 species